AACGCUAGCUACAGGCUUAACACAUGCAAGUCGAGGGGCAUCAGGGUAGCAAUACCGCUGGCGACCGGCGCACGGGUGAGUAACACGUAUCCAACCUACCGUUAACUCGGGGAUAGCCUUUCGAAAGAAAGAUUAAUACCCGAUAGUAUAUUUUCUUCGCAUGUUGAAAAUAUUAAAGAAUUUCGGUUAUCGAUGGGGAUGCGUUCCAUUAGGCAGUUGGCGGGGUAACGGCCCACCAAACCUACGAUGGAUAGGGGUUCUGAGAGGAAGGUCCCCCACAUUGGAACUGAGACACGGUCCAAACUCCUACGGGAGGCAGCAGUGAGGAAUAUUGGUCAAUGGACGAAGGUCUGAACCAGCCAAGUAGCGUGAAGGAUGACUGCCCUAUGGGUUGUAAACUUCUUUUAUAUGGGAAUAAAGUUCUCCACGUGUGGAGUUUUGUAUGUACCAUUAUGAAUAAGCAUCGGCUAACUCCGUGCCAGCAGCCGCGGUAAUACGGAGGAUGCGAGCGUUAUCCGGAUUUAUUGGGUUUAGAGGGAGCGUAGGUGGACUGGUAAGUCAGUUGUGAAAGUUUGCGGCUCAACCGUAAAAUUGCAGUUGAUACUGUCAGUCUUGAGUACAGUAGAGGUGGGCGGAAUUCGUGGUGUAGCGGUGAAAUGCUUAGAUAUCACGAAGAACUCCGAUUG
rnacentral:rRNA from 1 species